UACGUAGGGGGCUAGCGUUGUCCGGAAUCAUUGGGCGUAAAGAGCGUGUAGGCGGUCCGGUAAGUCCGCUGUGAAAGUCGGGGGCUCAACCCUCGAAUGCCGGUGGAUACUGUCGGGCUAGAGUGCGGAAGAGGCGAGUGGAAUUCCUGGUGUAGCGGUGAAAUGCGUAGAUAUCGGGAGGAACACCUGUGGCGAAAGCGGCUCACUGGACCAUUACUGACGCUGAUGCACGAAAGCUAGGGGAGCAAACAGG
rnacentral:rRNA from 1 species